rnacentral:rRNA from 1 species
GAUGAACGCUGGCGGCGUGCCUAAUACAUGCAAGUCGAGCGAACAGACGAGGAGCUUGCUCCUCUGACGUUAGCGGCGGACGGGUGAGUAACACGUGGAUAACCUACCUAUAAGACUGGGAUAACUUCGGGAAACCGGAGCUAAUACCGGAUAAUAUAUUGAACCGCAUGGUUCAAUAGUGAAAGACGGUUUUGCUGUCACUUAUAGAUUGAUCCGCGCCGCAUUAGCUAGUUGGUAAGGUAACGGCUUACCAAGGCAACGAUGCGUAGCCGACCUGAGAGGGUGAUCGGCCACACUGGAACUGAGACACGGUCCAGACUCCUACGGGAGGCAGCAGUAGGGAAUCUUCCGCAAUGGGCGAAAGCUUGACGAAGCAACGCCGCGUGAGUGAUGAAGGUCUUCGGAUCGUAAAACUCUGUUAUUAGGGAAGAACAAAUGUGUAAGUAACUAUGCACGUCUUGACGGUACCUAAUCAGAAAGCCACGGCUAACUACGUG